AAUUUCGAUAACCGAUGGGGAUGCGUUCCAUUAGUUUGUUGGCGGGGUAACGGCCCACCAAGACAUCGAUGGAUAGGGGUUCUGAGAGGAAGGUCCCCCACAUUGGAACUGAGACACGGUCCAAACUCCUACGGGAGGCAGCAGUGAGGAAUAUUGGUCAAUGGACGAGAGUCUGAACCAGCCAAGUAGCGUGAAGGAUGACUGCCCUAUGGGUUGUAAACUUCUUUUAUAUGGGAAUAAAGUGAGCCACGUGUGGCUUUUUGUAUGUACCAUACGAAUAAGGAUCGGCUAACUCCGUGCCAGCAGCCGCGGUAAUACGGAGGAUCCGAGCGUUAUCCGGAUUUAUUGGGUUUAAAGGGAGCGUAGGCGGACUAUUAAGUCAGCUGUGAAAGUUUGCGGCUCAACCGUAAAAUUGCAGUUGAUACUGGUCGUCUUGAGUGCAGUAGAGGUAGGCGGAAUUCGUGGUGUAGCGGUGAAAUGCUUAGAUAUCACGAAGAACUCCGAUUGCGAAGGCAGCUUACUGGACUGUAACUGACGCUGAUGCUCGAAAGUGUGGGUAUCAAACAGGAUUAGAUACCCUGGUAGUCCACACAGUAAACGAUGAAUACUCGCUGUUUGCGAUAUACAGCAAGCGGCCAAGCGAAAGCAUUAAGUAUUCCACCUGGGGAGUACGCCGGCAACGGUGAAACUCAAAGGAAUUGACGGGGGCCCGCACAAGCGGAGGAACAUGUGGUUUAAUUCGAUGAUACGCGAGGAACCUUACCCGGGCUUAAAUUGCAACUGAAUAUAGUGGAAACAUUAUAGCCGCAAGGCAGUUGUGAAGGUGCUGCAUGGUUGUCGUCAGCUCGUGCCGUGAGGUGUCGGCUUAAGUGCCAUAACGAGCGCAACCCUUAUCUUUAGUUACUAACAGGUUAUGCUGAGGACUCUAGAGAGACUGCCGUCGUAAGAUGUGAGGAAGGUGGGGAUGACGUCAAAUCAGCACGGCCCUUACGUCCGGGGCUACACACGUGUUACAAUGGGGGGUACAGAAGGCAGCUACACAGCGAUGUGAUGCUAAUCCCAAAAGCCUCUCUCAGUUCGGAUUGGAGUCUGCAACCCGACUCCAUGAAGCUGGAUUCGCUAGUAAUCGCGCAUCAGCCACGGCGCGGUGAAUACGUUCCCGGGCCUUGUACACACCGCCCGUCAAGCCAUGAAAGCCGGGGGUACCUGAAGUCCGUAA
rnacentral:rRNA from 1 species